GAUGAACGCUGGCGGCGUGCCUAAUACAUGCAAGUCGAGCGAACAGACGAGGAGCUUGCUCCUCUGACGUUAGCCGCGGACGGGUGAGUAACACGUGGAUAACCUACCUAUAAGACUGGGAUAACUUCGGGAAACCGGAGCUAAUACCGGAUAAUAUAUUGAACCGCAUGGUUCAAUAGUGACAGACGGUUUUGCUGUCACUUCUAGAUGGAUCCGCGCCGCAUUAGCUAGUUGGUAAGGUAACGGCUUACCAAGGCAACGAUGCGUAGCCGACCUGAGAGGGUGAUCGGCCACACUGGAACUGAGCCGCGGUCCAGACACCUACGGUAGGCAGCAGUAGGGAAUCUUCGGCAAUGGGGGGAAGCCUGACGGAGCGACGCCGGGUGAGUGAUGAAGGUCUUCGGAUCGGAAAACUGUGUUAGUAGGGAAGAACAAAUGUGUAAGUAACUAUGCACGUCUUGACGGUACCUGAUCAGAAAGCCACGGCUAACUACGUG
rnacentral:rRNA from 1 species